UACGUAGGGGGCAAGCGUUGUCCGGAAUUAUUGGGCGUAAAGAGCGCGUAGGCGGUCCGGUAAGUCGGUUGUGAAAGUCGGGGGCUCAACCCUCGGAUGCCGAUCGAUACUGUCGGGCUAGAGUCCGGAAGAGGCGAGUGGAAUUCCUGGUGUAGCGGUGAAAUGCGUAGAUAUCAGGAGGAAUACCGGUGGCGAAAGCGACUCUCUGGACGGCAACUGACGCUGAGGCACGAAAGCGUGGGGAGCAAACAGG
rnacentral:rRNA from 1 species